GCCAUAUUGUUUCGAUUCAAGAAGAAAAAAAUUGCCCGCAGUUGUUUCAUUGUGCAGCUAUACUCAGUAUGGAUAAACGCCGUGCCUUACCAAGAAUCAGUGAAUGUCCUGUAAUCAGCAUCCAUGAUCAUUUAUUGACAGUAUGGUAAAUUUAGAGAGAUAUGCUGUUGAAGCAAUACAGUGGAAAUGAAGGGUGGGCCAAGAAUGGAAUGUCAUGUCCAGCUUGCCUGAAUCUAAGGGAACAUGAAAGGGAGCACAGUUGCUUUCAAUUGGAACCUGGGCUGAAAAUGGAAUUUCUUCUUGCCUGGACGUAGAUGGAGGAACGCUAAAAAGAGCACUCAAAUGACAAUAGGAAUGUUGAAUGAAUGCAAGGACCAGCCCAAAAAUCCCAGAUCCUUGGGGAUCUGCCCACGCUAAAGCAGACGUCGACAAGACAUUGCAGUGCUCACGUAAAGGGCCAAGAAGGGUGUUGCAUUGGUGUUGGUCUGGGCGUCUCCGGCCUUUACGUCCCCAAAGAUUCUACACACUCGCUUCGUAACAUUGAUUUUCUGAUAACGCGUUUUUGUACUAUUUUCUCUGGCAAACACGCCAUCGGAUGCAGAGCCGGAACCAUUCUGAGAGUGAAAAUUACGUAAAUAAGAUAGAGAUUCUCCUUCUCUAGCUAGCUUUGAAACCGAACUCAACAAGCUAAACCCUUUGGACUAUUUUACUGUUUUUUUUUUAUUGCUAUGAAUAUGUUAUGCAAAAGGUAUCCAUUUCGCAGUGUUUUCAGUUUUAUGCGUGUCAUUAGCCGUAGUAAUUCAGUCGGCUGUUAAUAUCAUUGAACGCUCGUUCAAUAGAAUUCUGGUUCCAACGCCCCUAAUUAAAAGCUUAUGCUCAUUUUCGAUCAAAACACUUUUUUGACCACACUGAAGAUGUUUGGUCGUUAGACGUCUGCCUCAAACUGAAAAACUGUCUUGUUUUUAUGAGGGCCUUGUAGUGACAAGGACGAUGUAAGUGCACGGGGUUAAAUUUUUUAAGAGACAAUUGAAACAAGAACGAUUUGGGCUCUUGAAGUAGUCAUUGUCUCACGGCACUUAAAUUAAUAAGUUAAACCUUAACGUUUCUCCGUUCUGAUGUGAAGCAAACAGGAAGUAGCGAAGGCGCGAAAAUCAAGUAGGGGUAGACCCAAGACGUUCGCCGUUGAACACUCGAUGCUUAUUUAAUCUUUUUUUUUUUUUAUCAAGAAUCUAUUUCAGUCAUUUGCUUUUUGUGCCCAAAACGCAUUCAAGCGUUUUCAUCUUGCUGUGUACUCUACUAAAACAAGCAUAUGCUAAUUUCAAGCACGCUGAUUUCAGCCAAUCAUAUACUUUGAUGGGCUGCUUCGACGUAUUUCAUUGGUUAAUUGCUGAGUUUAGUUUGUAAAGAACAAAAGCUAAAUAAAGUAAUGGAAGCAAGA